GGAUGAACUUUUGCAAGGCUACAAAUCUUGUUAAUAGUGAAGCUAACGUUCAGACCCAAGUGGUUCGGCUCUAGACUUUGUCUCAGUUACUGAAUUGAACUCUCUGUGCACUUACGAUGUGUCAUACCAGUUCUCACUACAUAGUGUCCCAAAAGAUUGGGCCUGCUCUUUCUUUCAGAGACAAUUAGGAAAAAAGUAAACAAACGGAGCAGGAUUUGGGCAUAACAGCAUGCUCCUCCCAUCCCCCAAAUCCCAGGAGUGUCACUGAGGCAGGAGAAUCGCUUGAACCCAGGAGGCAGAGGUUGCAGUGAGCCGAGAUCACACCACUGCACUCCAGCCUGUAAUGUCUUACAAUAACAGAAUGCAGGAGAGCACAUAUCAAUGAAGAAAAGACAAAAUGUACUUAUCCAUGAAGCUGAGGUUAAGAAACCAGUGUCUUCAAGAGCCAGGGACAGCACUGGGUCUGUGCAGAGUUGAGAGAUGGUGAUGACAUGUGGUUUCCAGCAUUCCUCACCCAGUCCAGGGACACUGUGGGUGUGCCCAGCUUAAGUCCAGUAACUGGAAAUACAAGCCCAAGUUCUGGAGAGUUUGAGCUGCAGAGAUAUAUAUGGGAACACUUUGAAUCUUGACUCAUUGGCCAUAACCAGCAGAGUGGAAAAUACAAGAAGAGAAAAAAACAUUGAACUGCGAUUUUAUAACAUCCUUUACUAGGCAGAGAGAAGAGGAAACACCAGGAAAGAAAACUGUAUUACGAUGUGAAAACUUAAUGUUGAGAAAUUCAGGCAUCUUGGGGUUAGU
rnacentral:lncRNA from 1 species